GACAAGGGGCCGUGGAGACGAAACGUCUCGAUGCUGUGGGGAUGCCGGAGGGUCUCCGGUGAACACCCCCCAGGUGUUUACGGGGACCUUCCCUGGGCUUAGAGGAGAAACGCAGCCCAGCCACCGCCUGCACUGGUCCCACCGCGACAGGACAGACAUCUUUAGCGAGGCCGUGACGCAGCGGGGCUUGGGCUGCAGGGGCACGAUGAGCUGUCCUGUCCUGCUUCGCUGAAGAUCUUCCGCUAGUUGUCAUUUAUGUUACAUCUACUAGAAAAUACUUUGGACCUGUCUGCUGGAAACACAGAUAGUAAAAGAAGGGAAGUCAGGAAAACCUCCUGGGAGCUGGAUCUUUAGUAGGCCUUCUCCAGAGGAGGGCGCGCCCUCGAGGCAGAGGAGAUGGGCCUCACAGACAGGACAGUGCCAGCAGGGUGAGGAGGGCACUGGGAAGGAUGACCGGGGUCAGACGGCCACACAAGGGCUAGAAGUCCCGUCGGGGAGCUGGUGUGACCUUGUGACCCAGAAAGCAGGAGCCCAGACAGCAAUACGGUGGCGGGGGGGGGGGGGGGCAAGGGAGUGGGCUAUCCCAGGCAGCUGUCCACGAAGGAAGAGGCUUCAUCCCUACAGGCCACGGAACCCUGAGGGGGCCUGAGGUGGGGGAGUCCAGUCCAUAGCUCUCAUCAGCUGGUAAAACGUCCAGGACCCCAGAGACAUCCUGCACCCAAGGCUGCCUUUCCUGGUGGGUCCGGGAGCCGACCCAGGCCACUGGGCCACCACAGCUGACGCGGCGCGAGCACACCAUACACGUGCAGCUCACCGGGCCCACGAGCCAGGUGGGCGGGGCUGCGGAUGAUCGGCUUCCACGGCGCAUUCUCCCGAGUCAAGCAGGCGCUUGGUGCUGAGCUAACUACACUUCCCAGCUCCUGGCAGCCGGGCCAGAGGGACGGGCGUGGAUGCCCACCCUCCACCUCUCCCGCGGCCCUUUCUCGCUGGCUUCGACUGCCCAGAGGCGGAGAAUGCCCCGAGGGGCUGGCAGGGCAGCACAAGACAGAAUCGGGGCUCCAGGAUGAUCUCACAGAACUGCCUCCCCCCCCCCCUUCUGCCUGGAGCCUUCGUGUGAGAGAGACGGACCUCCCGCCUCGUGAAAGCCACGUUACCUGUGUGUCUGAGCAACCAAAGCAAUACACGAACGCCAUGGCCUCUUCCUCAGUGAGAGGAGACCACAGCAAAGACGGGUACCUGGCCUUGGCCACCUCCACACUCACCAGGAAGAGUCUGAGGACCCAGGCUCUCUGCCUACCGCUAAGGGUCUGACUCAGCACCUUUGUAUCCUUAAACCUCCCCAGACGAUUCUGAGGCUCCGCAUGCUGCACGCAGUGUCUCGGCCAAGGCCGCCCCGCUGGCGGGUGCACCGCCCGGAUCUGAAGCCCAGGCACCAUCCACGGCACUCUGACCAGUUAACUCCUGGGGCCUCGCAAGACGCUCAGCGGCGCAGACCGUCCGUUCACCUCUCCUGGGCAAGCGCCUAGUGGAGAAGGUGACAGGAUCUUUGAUGACAUCAUCUCUGGCCACCUCGGGCCAUCGCCAGGCCGGCCGGCCACAGCUGCUGCACCUCAGACGUGGGCGCUGGGAGACACGAGUGCCGGCCCGGGGUGCACCAGGGGAGCCUCCCCCUGACCUGGGCCCAGCUCUUCCUCGGUCUCUAAAACCCAACGGCAGGUGAAGAAGGCUGCUCCUUGAGAUCUGCCCGCAGACGCAACGCCCACCUGCCACUUCCCCACCAGCAGAGAAAACGGGACUGGGGUUCCGCCACCCAUGCUUCCUCCUCCUGACCUGCUUCCUCCUCCCGACCUUCUCUCUGCACCUGACAGCUGGCCAGGCGCUUCCCAUGCACGUUCUCUCGCUGCGAGGCAGGUGCCGUUAGCCCCGUUUUCCAGCCGGGGCAGGUGAGACCCAGAGACGCAAAGACACAGCAGAGUGCCCAGCGCCCCACAUGGUGUCGCCGUGGGAGGCCGCCAACAGGUGACCCGCUGGACUCCCGAGUCAAGCAGAGUGAGAAGUGAAACAGUCUGCCCCAGGGCCGGCGGGGCAGAACGUUCUUUUCCCGGAGCCCCGGCAGUGUCUGGUUCAGCCAGAGCUCAAGCCCCAGCUCGGGCGCACACAGGCCUCGGGAAUGCGGCUCGGCUCCCCGCGCCCUGCCUGCCCUACCGGCUCAGCCUUCGGAACCUUCACAGGCGAGCGACACACUGUGACGUCGCCCUCUGAACCCCGAGGCCUCCACAGUGGGCGGCUCCACACAGCCCGGCCCCUGCUCGGUGCCAGACACAGCAACACAGGGCAGAGCACACGACUUGUGCAGAGAGAGCAGGGAUGACGCCCCCGUCACAGAAAAGCUCCCGCCGCUCAGACGUAGCAGCCGCUCGUGACCGGGGCCCCUCUCCGCCCGGAUGGCUCUCCUGGGAUGCCGGCCUCGUGUCUAGGACGAGGAUGGCUGGGGGUCGGCUCUCCCUCGGGUGGGCUGUCCAGCAGGGUCAGGAGCUGUGCCAGGCACCAGGAUCACCGAAAGGAACACGCCAGAGCCUGGGCCACGGGCCCUACACUACCUACUAGCCCCCGUGCCCGUCCCCGGGGCCUCCACUCAGGAGACCCAGGAUGUGCUCCUCCGACACCGAGAAGUGGCGGGUCUGGCCCCUCAGCAGAGCGAGGUCGGGGCCUCCUCGGUGUGGCUGCUGACGGAUGGAGGCUGUCGUGCCUGGUCCGGUGCCCGGCCCACGAGCUACCGUUUCAUCACUGCUGGGUCUGGGAAGACAGCGAAGGGGUACAGACAGCACUGGGAUCUUGCAGGGGUGGAUGACACGUCCACACACCUCUGUUCCCCAGGACGGACCCGGCAUGCCAGGCGGGUGCCGUGGGUACUUCCCUGUUGGGUAACCCAGAGACGAGUGACCGCCGCGGACAGCGGAAAGGGGACGGAAUGAACGCGUGCUCUCCCCUCAACCCGGUCCUGCCCCGCCAGCGGAGAACAGUCCUCCUCUGGUCAAAGGAUCAGAACCACCUUCCGGGAGCACGGAGGACUAUUUCCAGAAGAGAAAGGACAAAGGACUGCGGCGUGCCCCACACCCCGCUCUGCCUGUCCAGCCCGUCGGUGGGCCAGGCGGCGGCUUCAGAGUCGGCCCACGCUGCAGGCCAAGUUCACCGCGGUUCCUCCCGCUCGGAGCCUCGGCGCCCCCCGUCUACGAGAUGGGACCGAGGGGCCCCGCAUGCUGGGUGGCCGUGAGGACUGUGGUCCGCGAUGGGCAGCUCGGGCAAGAAGGCGGGAUGUGUCCACGCUCACCCACGCCCACAUCCGGGUAUUAGGAAGCAGCCGCCCCCGUCCGGCAAGGCAGGUGGCCACCCCCCUCCCCCCCGGCCGCACUGCCACCUGUGCUCCGUCCCCUCCCCCUGCCACUCGCCAGCACCCGCCGGGCAGUGUGGGGCUCCACUCCGGUCCAGGACAGGGCCUCCAGGCCUAAGAGAGUGGCCCUGCCCUCGGGGCACCAGGCCAGGACGACGGGCAGUUCUGCCACUGCCCGCACGUGGGCCGCAGGAAGCAAAUGCGGGGCAAGCACCACGGUGGGCAGGUGGCAGGUGAGAACCCCAGUUGCGAAGCAGCAUGAGGCCAGGUGCUCCCCAGUACGUUCUGACCCGGCCCCCAUCAGGCCAGAAUCACAGCCACACGUCCCCCUGAGGGGGGCCCUGCCCCUCAUCUCUCACCCAUGAAAGCAAAUGACCGUCACACCAACGAGGUAAUCCGAGGAAGCGUGUUCCAGCCCCGGCACACGGUCAGCACUGGCAAGUGUUCCUCGGGCACGAACUCCACUGAGAGAACGGGGGUGUCUGACCGUCUGCGUCAACACGCAGGGCCGGGCAGUUUCCCAGUACGUGGAAACCCUCCCGUGAAACUCCUAUGACGACUUCACGGUUUCAAGAAAAAGGCAGGAACUUAGCACCCACCCCCGCCCCUGCCCACCCGUCAGGACGGGACACUCUGGCGGGGAGGCCUGGCCGCAAGGAGCCUCCCCUCACCCGCAGCGCAGGUGCCUGCCCUCUGCUUUGUGCCAGGACCUCUGCGGCACCCGUGCCCAUCAGCCCUUCCCGUGGGCCCCCCUCCGGCUCUGGGGUCAGCAGGACCCAGCCCAGUCUGUGGCCUCAGUCCAGGAGCAGGCCCUCGCCACCGUGGGCAAAAUGGACUCCUCAUUCAGUCUGCACCCUAGGUGACCUGGAAGCGGUGACCCCGGGCACGCACAGUCACCCUGGCCGCCUCUCUGCCUGGCACUGGGUAUCUGCCUGUCUGCUCGCCACUUGUCUCCCCACCAGAACACCGGCCCCACGGGCAGGGCCUGGACUCCUCCCGUCCUGCACCACAUGCCCAGCACCCAGCAGGGCUCCCCACAGGAAGCACUGAAUAAAUAUGUACGAAGGACCCAUGGGGGGUGACCUUGGGGCACAAGGAAGAUCGCAUCCAUGCUGCAUCUAACCACCGAUACAACGGGGAUCUACUGGUACCUACCCAGGUUUUGGGGAGCAUUCAGAAAUCCCCGUGUGAAAACCCCUGUGAACCGUCAGGUCUGUGUGUGACGUGUACAAUCGCAAAACAGGCGGAAAGGCAGGGAGGGGACUUCGGCACCCAUCGCACUUCUCCCCCCUCCAGCUUCAGCCAAGGGCUCUUGGACCCAGGCUAGUAGUUCUCCAGCCCUCCAGCUGUGUUUUCCAGGAAGGACAUCUGCCCCCAAUUAGAUGGAAACGCCAGUGGAAGAUGCCCAAGUCCCAAGGGACGCAGCUACAGAACACUCACCUGGUGCCGGCUGGGCACCAGGAUCACCCGUCCCGGCCUCUGAACGCACAGGCACCUGCCCCCUUCCCUGCCAAGACUCUCAGAACCAGGCCUUCAUCUCUGACUCCACCUGCCUGCGCCAGCAGAACUUGGCCUUGCAGGGAGGGCGGGGCAGCUUCAGGCUGCACCCUCCUCCUCCGUGCAGGACGCGUGCCCCGGGCCCAGAGAAAGAGCCAAGACGCGGACCCUGCAUCCUCCUGAUGGAGCCGCUGGCCCCUGUUCUUUGUGAGCAGCCCGUCUAGUCCCAGGAAGCUGUCCUCUGCACACGUGGGUCCCGUCAGGGCACCGUGCCCACAUCUGCUCUGCCUCCUCCCCAUGACCUCGGCCCCCCUGUGUCACCCAGCCCUGGACCAGGCUCUCCCCUGCAUCCCAGAGUCACUCUUCAGCCUUAUGUCACGUGGGUGUCCUCUCCAUCCCCAGCACCCUGCCGAGUCUCUUCCCAGGCUCCCGGCAGCAGCCUGCUGGGCCAUCUCGCCAACCCUCCAGCCUCCCUGGGCCACUGAGUGUGAGUGGCCGUCCUGUCGCUCCCCACCCCCCUCCACUCCGGGGGCCUCUGCCUGGCACCAGAGGUGGUGCACAGACUGGCCACAGCUGGCUCAUCCCCCGCUGCCUCCAGGCCGACCCUGCCUGCGUUCUGCCAUCAACCGUGUUUGCCGCUCCCCUAGCCCGCCUGGUCCGGCCCGGCUGGCCUCCGGAGUCUGCUGAUGGCUCAUACCCUAACUCAGAAUACAACCGAUUCCACGCGUCUUUUGAGGAGGGCAGGGAGCUUCCCAAAGGUGGGGGUCUCUACCCGAUGGGCCCCGGCUGUGCUGCACCCGAAUACCAGCGGCAGCCACUGUACGUGGCACGCACAAAAUGCAUACCUGCCGGCCGGGGGAGGGCCGCAGGGUCAGAGCACUGCGCACGGGCGACAUGCCGGGAAGCGGGAGGUCUGUUGAGCCUGCUGCCCCGUGCGAGCCUUCUGCUCCCUCACGGCCACGAGACCCAAAGCAAAGCCACCCGGUGACGCGACAGACCAAGCCUGUCCGUGUACGUGCUCAGCACGGGCUUCUCCGGCUUUGAUUUCGGCAACACCGGCCCCUGGAAAUGGUAGCUUUUCCCUUCACGCUGGCUCUCGAGAGGCUUUCUGGAACAAGGCCGCGUCGCAUCAGCAGAGCAGGCAUUUCCGCCAGCAUGGAGAGCUGGCCAAGCAGGUGCCGGAGGGACAAGGACAGGCACGGGCGGGAGGUGGGGCGUGCCCAGCUCUGCUCCCCUUCCCUCUGGGCCUCUGCGCACGCCGCCCCCCCCCCGCCCCCAGCGGAGGUCUGUUCCCAGAAGCUGCCUUGUUUACAGCUCCACCCUGCCUUCUCCCCCUGCCCCUCUGCCUCCCUCCCCUGCUCCCUUCCACAGGGGCCCCAUCGCAGGCCACCCGAGGCCAGAGCAGGGCUGUGUCCCUCGGAGAAGGCACGGGGGGGGGGGUGGAGGGCCGGGGGCGGGGCCUUACCUUGAGG